rnacentral:lncRNA from 1 species
ACUAUUUAGAUCGCAUCCUAAAGGCUAAACGUUGGCUUGUCUACUCUCGGCGGAGGCUUAAGCGUUAAUUUGUUGUGCGCAUUAGAAAAGAUUAAAUAGUGUUCUUUUUGAAAAGAGUUUUGAUCACACGAGGGUGACAAGUUGGAUUAAUAUGUUGGAUAUUUUGUUUGACUGGUUUCGAUCGCACGAGGGCGAGAAAGGAUAAACUUGGUAGGUUAAGAUAUUUUUGGUUGG